GACGAACGCUGGCGGCGUGCUUAACACAUGCAAGUCGAACGGAAAGGCCCUGCUUUUGUGGGGUGCUCGAGUGGCGAACGGGUGAGUAACACGUGAGUAACCUGCCCUUGACUUUGGGAUAACUUCAGGAAACUGGGGCUAAUACCGGAUAGGAGCUCCUGCUGCAUGGUGGGGGUUGGAAAGUUUCGGCGGUUGGGGAUGGACUCGCGGCUUAUCAGCUUGUUGGUGGGGUAGUGGCUUACCAAGGCUUUGACGGGUAGCCGGCCUGAGAGGGUGACCGGCCACAUUGGGACUGAGAUACGGCCCAGACUCCUACGGGAGGCAGCAGUGGGGAAUAUUGCACAAUGGGCGGAAGCCUGAUGCAGCAACGCCGCGUGCGGGAUGGCGGCCUCCGGGUUGUAAACCGCUUUCGCCUGUGACGAAGCGUGAGUGACGGUAAUGGGUAAAGAAGCACCGGCUAACUACGUG
rnacentral:rRNA from 1 species